rnacentral:rRNA from 1 species
GACGAACCGUCCAAACGUUAUUCGGAAUCACUGGGCUUACAGAGUUCGUAGGCGGUCUGGAAAGUUGGGUGUGAAAUCCCUCGGCUCAACCGAGGAACUGCGCUCAAAACUACCCGACUCGAGGGAGAUAGAGGAAAGCGGAACUGAUGGUGGAGCGGUGAAAUGCGUUGAUAUCAUCAGGAACACCGGUGGCGAAGGCGGCCCACUGGAUCGGUACUGACGCUGAGGUGCGAAAGCGUGGGGAGCAAACAGG